ACGCUCGACACCUACGGGAGGCAGCAGUGGGGAAUAUUGGGCAAUGGGCGAAAGCCUGACCCAGCAACGCCGCGUGAGGGAAGAAGGUUUUCGGAUUGUAAACCUCUGUCCUCAGGGACGAAGGACGUGACGGUACCUGAGGAGGAAGCCCCGGCUAACUACGUGCCAACAGCCGCGGUAAUCUGAGCGGGCUGGCAAGGC
rnacentral:rRNA from 1 species